rnacentral:ncRNA from 1 species
UUGAGCCGUGUGAAGGGAAACUUUCACGCACGGUUCUUAGGGGGGAAGGAGGCUGUAAAGUCUCUGCCCUACCCGAC